rnacentral:rRNA from 1 species
CAUGCAAGUCGAGCGAACGGACGAGAAGCUUGCUUCUCUGAUGUUAGCGGCGGACGGGUGAGUAACACGUGGAUAACCUACCUAUAAGACUGGGAUAACUUCGGGAAACCGGAGCUAAUACCGGAUAAUAUUUUGAACCGCAUGGUUCAAAAGUGAAAGACGGUCUUGCUGUCACUUAUAGAUGGAUCCGCGCUGCAUUAGCUAGUUGGUAAGGUAACGGCUUACCAAGGCAACGAUGCAUAGCCGACCUGAGAGGGUGAUCGGCCACACUGGAACUGAGACACGGUCCAGACUCCUACGGGAGGCAGCAGUAGGGAAUCUUCCGCAAUGGGCGAAAGCCUGACGGAGCAACGCCGCGUGAGUGAUGAAGGUCUUCGGAUCGUAAAACUCUGUUAUUAGGGAAGAACAUAUGUGUAAGUAACUGUGCACAUCUUGACGGUACCUAAUCAGAAAGCCACGGCUAACUACGUGCCAGCAGCCGCGGUAAUACGUAGGUGGCAAGCGUUAUCCGGAAUUAUUGGGCGUAAAGCGCGCGUAGGCGGUUUUUUAAGUCUGAUGUGAAAGCCCACGGCUCAACCGUGGAGGGUCAUUGGAAACUGGAAAACUUGAGUGCAGAAAGAGGAAAGUGGAAUUCCCAUGUGUAGCGGNUGAAAAUGCGCAGAGAUAUGGAGGAACCACCAGUGGCGAAGGCGACUUUCUUGGUCUGUAACUGACGCUGAUGUGCGAAAGCGUGGGGAUCAAAACAGGAUUAGAUACCCUGGUAGUCCACGCCGUAAACGAUGAGUGCUAAGUGUUAGGGGGUUUCCGCCCCUUAGUGCUGCAGCUAACGCAUUAAGCACUCCGCCUGGGGAGUACGACCGCAAGGUUGAAACUCAAAGGAAUUGACGGGGACCCGCACAAGCGGUGGAGCAUGUGGUUUAAUUCGAAGCAACGCGAAGAACCUUACCAAAUCUUGACAUCCUUUGACAACUCUAGAGAUAGAGCCUUCCCCUUCGGGGGACAAAGUGACAGGUGGUGCAUGGUUGUCGUCAGCUCGUGUCGUGAGAUGUUGGGUUAAGUCCCGCAACGAGCGCAACCCUUAAGCUUAGUUGCCAUCAUUAAGUUGGGCACUCUAAGUUGACUGCCGGUGACAAACCGGAGGAAGGUGGGGAUGACGUCAAAUCAUCAUGCCCCUUAUGAUUUGGGCUACACACGUGCUACAAUGGACAAUACAAAGGGCAGCGAAACCGCGAGGUCAAGCAAAUCCCAUAAAGUUGUUCUCAGUUCGGAUUGUAGUCUGCAACUCGACUACAUGAAGCUGGAAUCGCUAGUAAUCGUAGAUCAGCAUGCUACGGUGAAUACGUUCCCGGGUCUUGUACACACCGCCAGUCACACCACGAGAGUUUGUAACACCCGAAGCCGGUGGAGUAACCUUUUAGGAGCUAGCCUC